ACGCCGUAAACGAUGAGUGCUAGGUGUUAGGCCCUUUCCGGGGCUUAGUGCCGGAGCUAACGCAAUAAGCACUCCGCCUGGGGAGUACGACCGCAAGGUUGAAACUCAAAGGAAUUGACGGGGGCCCGCACAAGCGGUGGAGCAUGUGGUUUAAUUCGAAGCAACGCGAAGAACCUUACCAGGUCUUGACAUCCCGAUGCUAUUCUUAGAGAUAGGAAGUUACUUCGGUACAUCGGAGACAGGUGGUGCAUGGUUGUCGUCAGCUCGUGUCGUGAGAUGUUGGGUUAAGUCCCGCAACGAGCGCAACCCUUAUUGUUAGUUGCCAUCAUUAAGUUGGGCACUCUAGCGAGACUGCCGGUAAUAAACCGGAGGAAGGUGGGGAUGACGUCAAAUCAUCAUGCCCCUUAUGACCUGGGCUACACACGUGCUACAAUGGUCGGUACAACGAGUUGCGAGCCGGUGACGGCAAGCUAAUCUCUGAAAGCCGAUCUCAGUUCGGAUUGGAGGCUGCAACUCGCCUCCAUGAAGUCGGAAUCGCUAGUAAUCGCGGAUCAGCACGCCGCGGUGAAUACGUUCCCGGGCCUUGUACACACCGCCCGUCACACCACGAGAGUUUGUAACACCCGAAGUCGGUGAGGU
rnacentral:rRNA from 1 species